rnacentral:rRNA from 1 species
AUUGAACGCUGGCGGCAGGCCUAACACAUGCAAGUCGAACGAGUGGCGGACGGGUGAGUAAUGUCUGGGAAACUGCCUGAUGGAGGGGGAUAACUACUGGAAACGGUAGCUAAUACCGCAUACCAUCAGAUGUGCCCAGAUUGGAUUAGCUAGUUGGUGGGGUAACGGCUCACAAAGGCGCCGAUCCCUAGCUGGUCUGAGAGGAUGACCAGCCCCACAGGAACUGUGACACGGCCCAGACUCCUACGUGAGCCAGAAGUGGGGAAUAUCGCACAAUGGGCGGAAGCCGGAUGCAGCCAUGCCGCGUGUAUGAAGAAGGCCUGAGGGUUGUAAAGUACUUUCAGCGGGGAGGCGUUACCCGCAGAAGAAGCACCGGCUAACUCCGUGCCAGCAGCCGCGGUAAUAC